AUGUUUUUCUCUCUGUUUCAGACUAUUUCAGGAAUUUGGAUGCCCUUUACAGUGCAUUACAUCCCCGGGGAGAAUCUGGAGCCCAUAGAUCAAUGGCCAUCAGUCUAAUCCUGGUUGCCAGGCACCUGUAGCUAUGGUCUCCUCUAAAUUCAAGAACUCUGUGUGGACUCCAGGUCAAGGACCGCGGUUCCGGACACUCUAGAUGUGGACCAGCAGAAUCAGCAUCACCUGGAAGCUUGUCGAAAGAGAAUGUCACCCCCACCCCAGACCCAUGCAUCGCAGUCUGUUCUUCAACAAGAUCUCCCGGUAAUCUGUGUGCACGUCAUGAUUUGAGAGGCAAGGCAAAACAAAAACUUGACCAAGCCUGCUUGGGUCAGACCAGCUAAGAGCUGAGUAGUUGAUCAGUAUCAAAAAGCAUACCUGAAGACCUGGAAGAAUUUCCAGGAAGUGGCAUUUCUCUGCUUUUCCACAGCUCACGUCCCAACCAUAUGGACACUUCCACUCUGAAAUUUGGUUGAUUAUCUUGCCCGUGUGACACAGAAACCAAUUCCCAGCUGCCCUCUGAGAAUUACCAAAACCUUUAACAGAGGACAAAGAAUCCCUUUAAGGUUAUGGAGGGUUGUCGCAUCAUUGUCAUCUGCAGCCAUUGUUUUCUCUGUGUCAUACGCUGAAGACGUAGCUGAUGAAGAUUUGGUUCAGUUUCCUGAGGGAAAAAUGAAUAUCCGAGGGCAGUAAAGGGACACAUUUCAGAUUUCAAAUUCCAACCUACAACUGCAAAGGAACAAUAUCGAUGCUCGUCGGGGGCUUGUUCUGACUCACCCAUUUUUUUUUUUUUUUUUUUUUCAGAAGAGAGCUCCAGACUGUAGCAGUGGCUUGGUUACCGAGUAAAUUGUCCUGAAGUAAGCUUUCAGUGGUGAGUUAGAGUCUGGCCGGAUUCUUUGCCUCC